rnacentral:lncRNA from 1 species
UUGAGAUGCUGAACGGACACCCGACCGGCCAUUAGCCUCAAACAUUGAAUGUCUUCAAUGCUCUUGGAAAUAUAGGUGCUGCCAAUUAUUGACAUCACAAUAUUGAUCGUUCCCCGUCGACAUUGUGUUUUACCAUCCGUUUAUACCUUAAUUACUAUUGCUUUUCGCUCUUCCCCUCUUUAGUUGUAAUUGAAACUUGUGCCUCCUGAUGUAUUGACAAUAAUGAUUGUGACGACCUUGUGAAAUAUUAGUUGCUGCUUGCACCGUCAUAUUGAUGAUGCACAAUUCUAAGUAUGUUCUGUUUGGAAGGGCUAUUUGGUCGGAUGAGUUGCUUUUUCCUAGCAUUAACCUAUUUGGUGGAUUUUUUUGGAAGUUUGUUCUGUAUGUCAACAUGGACUUCUUUUAUUUGCCUAUGACUAAAGGCCUCCGUCAAAAGAAUGGACAUGAUCAGCAUCACUACUUGUCGCGGAAUAAUUCCGGCAGUCCACCACGAGACUAUCCAUGGUGAUAGAUUGUUUGGAGAGGAUCACUGUAACUAGAGCUAGAUGGAUGAACACAUGUACAUAAAGGAUUUACCAUGUUAGGGCCACCGAAUUUGUGUAAUAUCCUACGUUCUGUGCUCGGGAUUGUAUUCUCAGUAUAUUGGGUAUCGAAUAUGGCUUGGUUUUUUUUGGAGGGGGGGUCCAUGCCCACCUUAUAUGGCCGGGGAGGGUUACAGAUCAGCUUCGGAUCUAAAUCUAGUCGGUUAUAAUAAGGAAGCAAACUGAAUUGUGGUACAACUUAUCUCUUUGUAUAUUUAAACUAGAUCUAUCUCUCUAUCACUAUCUCUUCACGCCGCAGGCUUGUCUUGCUUCGCACGUACCCAUCUACCAUCCGGAUGGGCUGAGCCACCCCUCCAGCGGGCAGCCAGACCCAUCCGAAUGGUAACCGGUUAUCAUAUCCCCCACAACCGCAACCUCGAGCAGACUCCUUCUCGAUCGAUCCUCCGUAAGCCCGAGUGGUUUUAUCUUCUAGCUGGCUGGUUCAUCAUUGUCUCGUGGUUGCUGAGAGAACGAGGAGAGGACGGCAAGGAAGUUAAAAUAGUCUUAAAAUAGUCGCUGGUGUCAAAUAUAUGUUGAAAUAUCCUAUCUAAUAUACAACAUGAGAAGCAGUGCAUUACGAUGUGAGCCAUGGCAAAUGAACCUUAAAAACUGAGCGAUGGGUCAACAACAAUGUGGCAAGAUGGUCGAUGAACUGGCUGAUUGUUCCUCAUCUUUUGGUUAUUGUGCUUGGAUACUAAUUCCUACAAUAAUCUUAGGGUACGAUUGGUUUGAUGCCAGGACUGGCCACACCAAUUUUUUGGCCGUUGACCAGAAAACCAGGGUCUCUUUGUGAAACGAACCGGUUCUCGCCAAAGAGAAAAGGGAUUGAUUCGGACUUUCCUUUACCAAUUUCUUAUUUAAUUCACGGGAUACAGGAGCUUUAAAAACGGUUUGCCGAGUAUACUCGGCAAAAAUUUUAACGGCAAACGCUCUUUGCCGAAUGUUUUUUGGGGCACUCGGCAAUGCCCCGAAAAUACUUGGCAAACAUUUUUCGAAAAAAAAAACAAGCACCAGCCCGCCACCACCGGCCGCUACCACCGGCCGCCGCCCACCAUGGCCGCCGCCACUCUUGCCUCCCGCCGACGCCACGCCACCAAGCCCACCACGCCACCACGCCCGAGCUGCCUCCUUGAGGCUGCGUGGCGGGUAGUAGAUGCUGGCGUGGAUGACCUCGCUGUUGCGGGAGCUUGUGCCGGCGCCGAAGCUGGGGCCUGCCUCGACCACGACCACCUCACGGCCGGCCAUCGCGAGGCUGACGAAGCCCGCACCCACCACCAUGGCGUUCGCUGCCUCUCGCGGGGCCCCAACGCGAGGCCUCGCGCUGUGAGUCCCCGCCGGCGGGCUGCCCCGGCCAGGCGCCGCAACAGGAGCAUUGUCCCCACGAGGGUCCCCACGCGGUGGCCGGAUCCAGGGAGGAGGGGCAGGGCGGCGGCUGGAGAAAGGGAGGGGCCGGGGUGGAUCAGUAGAGAGAGGGAGGGAGGCGGGGCGGUGCGGGAAAGGAGGGGCUAGGCGGAUUUGGAGAGAGGGAGGGCAGCGUAGUUAUAGCAAAAUAACUUUGCCGAGUGCCCAACCUAGCACACUCGGCAACGCAACCCUUUGCCGAGUGCAGACACUCGGCAAACUUAUUUUGCCGAGUGUUUUUUUAUAGCACUCGGCAACAAGGUUCUUUGCCGAGUGCCCGAGGUAAAACACUCGGCAAACAUAAAAACACUUGGCAAAGUACGUUCUUCUUGGAAUAUUAAUUUUUUAUGCAUUGUUGACUCGUUGAAAUGUACUUCUAGGCUAUUGAUCAGCAAAAGAAACAACAAAGUAAGCAAACAAUAAUCACACGAAGUAGUGGUUUGGGUUUGGUUUCCAGUAGGGUUUUGAUUUUGGAUUUGAGAUCGAGGGUAAUCAAACACCGUCCAUGAAAAUUGUUAGGGCGAACGAUGCAAGGUUACCAGUUGGCUGGUAUGGUUAUACCUACUAAGAGGUACAAGGAUGCUGGGGUUCCCGUCCACGUGCCCCAGCCAUCGACGCCCCAAAAUAACGCCCACUUCCCCGUUGAUCAUAUGCUUCUCCACCGGACGCACCGCCGAUGAAGACAUCCGCAGGUUCCGCGACCUCCGCUGCGCCCUUGUCCUCCACCCUCCGGCAUGGCUUCGACGAUAACCCAAUCUUCUACAAUACGGGACAACUAGCCCCCUGCCCUCUCAUCUGCAACCAUGCAUGCGGUGGCGACUUGCAACGUCGCGGCUGCCGCCAUGACUUGCGCUUGGCUUCCCACCAAUCUCAAUCCGUGCAUAGAGAAGAAUGGAUUGUGAGGUGAGCAUUCGUGCAAAUCUGGCCCAGUUCAUUAUUUUUGUAUGGGCCUUCCAAAUUUUUGGAUGAGGAACGGGAAGUUAUUGUUGUUUAUUUGUUCUGAUUGUCGAUUCCAUCAGAUUCCACUACUUUCUGUUGAUUCAUCAUAUGUGGAGAAUGAAUUACUAAUAUUCCUAUGAGAUUAGCCCAAAAAAUUCCUCCUAUGAAUUAUACUAAUAUUCCUCCCAAAAAAUUCCUCCCAAAAAAUAACUAAUAUUCCUAUGAAUUACUAGUCAGUGAAAAAAUAGAUUAUACCAUGCAUAAGAGUGCCAGUACUUUUUUUAGGGGAUGUGGCUUCCUUGGCAAAUGCAGGGGAGACUUCAAUUUGAUCACCAGCUUUUUUUUAUUUUUAACCCUUUUUUUCUUUAUUUUUAAAAAUAACCUUAGCGGGGUUUUAUUUACGCGGCCUAACCCUUUUGGCCACGCCAGACCGCCUGACGCGGCAGGAACAUGCUGCCGCGCCACAUGCACUGGCGCGGCAGCCCCCUGCCACGCUGGCGCGGCGAGUCGCGGCGCCAGGCGGGCGCUGACGUGGGCGGGCGUUCGCCGCGCCAGCCCGCCUGGCGCGGCAGGGUCAACACUUAGACCGCGCGCCGGCUCCCUUCCUCCUCCCUCCCUCCUUUCUUCCUCCUCCAGAAACGCCCGAGCCCGAAGCUCCAGCGCCGCCCCCCGCCGCCCCACCCCCAAAUCCACCCAAAAUCCGGCGUUUUCGGUGGGGGAAAGUAGUGGGAAUCGAUCCCUGCUUUGUGUGGAAGGUAUUCCCCUACUUAUUCUCGUGUUUUACCGUUGCAUUUGGUAGAUCGGAGGAUGUUUAGGUGACUUAGGGUUAGGUUAGUGAUUUGAAAUUUCAAUGAAAUGUAAUGGUAUUUUGUGUUAGAUGAUACGUAGUUCAUACGCAAUUGAGUCUCUGCCCGCGAUAUUGACGUGUAGAAUUUAUUGAUUUAAGGAUAUAUUCAUUGAAUCGUAUAGUGCAAUGUAUAUAGUGCAAUCUUACUGGAUUACGCACUCUCAUUCUAGUAUUCUGGUAACACAUGCACGUGUAAACUAAACCAUGUGUUACCUUUACCCGUAUCCUCUAGCUUACAUGCAAGCCGUAAUGUACCUGAACUCAAUUUCCCCAAGUCAGCGUGCGUGAACUAAUUAUCAUUCAUUUCCCAUUAAUGACCGUGGCUACCGGCCACCAGAGUUGCAGCGCGGCUCGGCUCACGUGGUUGGCUCAGCGGUGACGCCCCAAAAUUAGGCAGGAUGUUUACAUCUUCCGUCCGGACUAAAAUUCAUGUCACAUCGAAUAUUCGAAAGCUAAUUAGGAGGAUUAAAUAUGAGCUAAUUAUAAAACUAACUACACAGACGGAGGCUAAUUCGCGAGACGAAUCUAUUAAGCCUAAUUAAUCCAUCAUUAGCACAUGUUUACUGUAGUAUCACAUUGUCAAAUCAUGGAGUAAUUAGGUUUAAUAGAUUCGUCUCGCAAAUUAGCCUCCAUCUGUGCAAUUAUUUUGUAAUUAAUCUAUAUUUAAUACUCCUAAUUAGUAUCUAAAUAUUCGAUGUGAUAGGAAUUUUAGGAGGUUCUAAAGAACCAAACACCCUCUAAAUGGUAGCACCGCACGGGAUCCUGACUCGCUGGAUCGUGGGUCCUGUGAUCUGACUACAGAAUAAGCUAUUCUAUAACUAGAAUAAGCUAUUAUGUGGUCGGUCACGAAGUAUACUCAGCCCUUGUUUACUUCCCUCCAAACUUCCAACUUUGACACUAUGCAAAAAGAAGAUUCCCCAUCACAUCAAACUUGCGGUACAUGCAUGGAGUACUAAAUGUAGACGAAAUCAAAAACUAAUUGCACAGUUUUGUUGUACUUUGCGAGAUGAAUCUUUUGAGUCUAAUUAGUCAAUAUUUAGACAAUAAUUCACAAAUACAAACGAAACGCUACAGUUGCGCAUUUAUGGCAAAAUACCAAUUUUACCGCUCCCAAAUUGGAAAGGAAACAAGACCUCAGGUACAAUAGCUUAUUCCGUACCCAACCCCUCCCGCGCCGCACCUCUCCCUCUCCGGCCCUUUCCUCGCGCGCAGGUGCCAAGCGGUGGAGCGCUCGUCUCAGGUUCGAUUCCUCGAAACUGCAACUGAUUUUUUUUCAGUUUUAACCUGCAUCCACGCUCGCAUGUUGCCUGGUGGGCCUGAUGAUGCCUCAUGCGCUGACCAUUGGACAACAACAUGUUAGUGGCCCAUUCAGGCCUGAUUGCUUGUUCGGAACCUUGAGUUUGCUCUCCUUAAAAAAUGACGUGCGCGCGCAUAAAAAUAGAUUAUGGGAUCUAGUAUCAUGUUUUUUUCCAGCGGCAAGUAAUGACAUGUAGAUGCAAAUUGUUUGCGUCAAUCUAGUGUGAAAGUAGUAUUUUUUUUAUCCUGAAGGAAUAACACGUGGAUGCAAAUAGUAGUGUGCUAACAAAAAAAACUAUAGGAACCUAGAUUCAAUGUAGUAGCAUCACAGAUAAUUAUGCAUUUGCACAUAGGAACCUGGAUUCAGCAUCACGCUCCCGGACACAAGUAAUACAAUUGUACAACAAUUAUAGCACCUAGUGAUCAUUACAAGGAGUGGACAGAGCCAGUAGGUCUUGUACAUGCAAUCGCUGCACUGGAAUACUAGAUAGACUUCCCUGAGGAAUGAUAAGCAUUUGACCAUGCAUCAUAGAGUUAUCACUGUUGCAAGGUCAGAAUGCCACACACAAAAAAAUCCCACCCCUUACGAAUAAAAAACAAAUAAAAAGAUUGGAGAGGUCCAUUGCUCAUCUAGGGUUAUAAGAUGGUCCCAGCGCUCAACACCUGCACAAAGGAUGCUCCAAAGGUUGUUGUUUGGGUUGGAGCCAGCAGAGGUUGGGGAAUUCACGUCACAAUGUUGGCCUUCUGCUCGCCGCCUACAGCUUGUCAGUAAGAAUGGGCUCGGCAGUAGGACCCAUCCUGUCAUCAGGUGAUCAAACCAAGCCUGCACCUAGUAGUAAAUUUGGAUUGACAAAUCAGAUCAGAAUCUCUUGGAUGAAAUGAAUGCAUAUCAGCCAGUAGGAAGCAUGCACAUCUGAACAUUUAAAUCACUGAAUGAAAACAAGUCGCAUAUCUGAAUUUUGAACAGGAACUCAUCUAGACAUAUUCACAAAUAAAACUCAUCAAUUCAUUUAUAAGAGAAAAAGGGAAAUUAAUAAAGCUCUAGUUAUCUGAACAGGAAUCCCUAAACCAAGAAAUAAACAUCUAGUUCUUAUCUGAGGAACCAGCAUCCCUCUUCCAACAAACUGUGGUUAGUCCACUUUGGUUUGCAAAAUAAUCUGUCUGCAACGUGAGCCCUAGGGGUUCAGGGGUCUUCUUAGUCCACUUUCCACCUGUUAAAGAAAAGAGUCAGAACAAUAAUGUCUGAAAAAGUGAAAAUAUGUGUCUGAGCAAAUAAAACUGCAUCCGUAAAUAAAGGCAACAAGAGCAAUCUAGUUUUACAGUGUAAUUCAAAUCCAAAAUUCUAAAAAAAGUAUUGAAGAGGGUAAUCCAUGUAGUAUCAUAGAAGUAGCACAAAAAGGUGAAAUCCUGCUUUGUUUCCCUACAGAAAUGCAUGCAAUUAAUAAUCCGUAUUCUUCACUUCAACUAAUAUGUGCAGCUCAAUUAACUGCAGUCAGCCAAAAGUGCCUAAGGUGUCUAGUGUUAAUGAAAAUUUGCCUUUGCCACUAAGCUGGCCCCUGUUCGUCAUUAUGCCGUUCAAAUUUCAGUCAUUUUCCUUUUUACCAGUAAGUCCGUGUUCCCAUAAGAGCUGAGUACUAGUCUGGAGAGGGACCAUCACCUAGCGGGGCUAAGCAUCCACCUAGGGGAAUACAUUGUCAUUCUUCCAUUAUGCGAUAAUUUGUUUUACUGUCACUGUCAGUUUGACUGAAGAAAAGCAUGCAAAAUUUGGAUCAUUACGAGUAUAACCAAGAUACCCUCCAUAAUUGACAAAAGAACCACCCAAUGUAUUGUUUCUGUUCAUAACUAAUGGAUGUUUUCUAGAAGUUCAAAAUAGUCUUAUGCCACCUUGACAGACUUCAGCCGAAAAUGGUGAAAAAAUGCUGAAAUCAAAAGGAGCAAAUAAAGGAAGAGUAGCAAAAGGAAAAUGGGCAAACUUUUAGAGGCAGAAUGGACAACUGGUUCACCCUCAGCAGUAAAAACACAAUCCUCUAUUUGUCACUGUGAGCAGCAUAAAAAUAUGACCAUUCUCACGAAACUCUCAGCCAAUGGGCAGGUACCAUAUAGCAGAUGGCUUGAAACUCAGAGAGCACGUGAUUCAGAUUGGAUUAGCGAGCAGUGGCUCACCGCGGAGUGUUGCUUAUUUUUCCAAACAGACUUACAAAGAAUACUAAGAUGGCAGAUAGGCAAUCACAAACAUUGAUGAGCCAAAGAAAAGAAACACACCUAUAUCCACACUUUAUAUAUGUCAAGGCAGAAAUUAGCACUGGGUAUCAAUAAACUAUUAAUUGAAACAAUUCAUGAGAACAUCAAAGAAUCAGGGACCCAUAGCAAUAAGAUAUUAGCAUCAUAGGUUACUUUGUACAUUAAGUUCUCAUACGUACUACCAUACUGAUUUAUUAAGAAUUCAAGAUUAGCUUUCAAAUUUUUUGCAGAACCUAAUGAAUUCAUAGAAUCAACUCAACCUUAAAUUUAUAUAAUAGGUUCCUAACACGGAUAUAUAGACAUCGUCUCAGAACGAACAGAUUCUUUUGUACUUCCAAUUAUCAGGCAUCACUUACAUCAUUAGUCAGAAGAGAUCUACAAGAGAAAGAUUUAAGUCGUGGAGAUUGUCCCGCCGAUGUUGAACCACUGUCAUUACUACCAGUUCGUUUAUCACCCUGCCAACGGAAAGGUAUUUGUAAAUUAACAAACUCCAAACUUGCAAAUAUAGCAAUGUUGACAAGAGUUGCAUCAUUGAUUAAUGCCUGAAAAGAGUGUUGUACCCUAGACGAUACAUUUGCCACAUUUGUUACAGAAGACUACAAAACAUUCCCAUGAAAAAUGCCUCAACAAUACUUUUGCCCCCAUUUGUUCCAGAAGACCAUUUGAGGGAGUGGAAACUAACAACCUCAGCCUUGGCUGAUGUAACAUGAAAACAUUCAAAUUUGGCGUUGUGCUUGAACUGACUAUCAAAAGGCAAUGAAAACCUUGGUGGCAAUGAGAAUACUACAAUGCAUACCUGCCCUCACGGAUCAAGAAGGGGAGCGCACAGCCGCACCGCCGCUCGCCUGGAGGACGGAGCCCCGCCUCGAUUUGGUUGUCAGGUCGGCAAAUCCAGUUUGCCCUCACGCCCACGACGAGGAUCCGGCCGGGAGGUGCCCCUGUUGUCCGCCGUAAGGGGAAGGAGACCGUAGCCGUCGUCACGUGGAGGGGGAUGGCGCCGACGACCAUCACCGGCCAACCAGCGGCAGGAGCGGGAGAUGACGAGUGGCGGCGGCGGUGGCUUACGUACGUAUGUAUCGUAGAGUGCCACGUGUAUCCGGAGGAGUCUUGACCUCAAAGUUUAUGUACUCUAAUAUAUAUUGACCAUAGCCUCAAUGCAAUACGAUCCAUACAUGGGAUUAGUGUUUAGCCGAACCGCGCCCCUCCUACCGUGUUGUAAUCGACAUUGUGCUUUACCAUCCAUGUGCCUCAGUAGUAUUCUUUUUGCUAUUAAAUUUCCUCUUUAAUUGUUCACCUAACUUGGACCUUUUGAUGUAUUGCUUGGCAACAAUGAGCUAGUGUGAUGAUCUUAUUAUGAAAUAUUUGUGAAAUGUUAGAGGAGUGAGUAAUGUUUUUGUUUUUUGGGAGCGAGCCCAAAGUCAGGACGAAGUAGGAAAAACAGAGGAAGUAGUGCGAUGACAUUAUGGACACUGCACAGGCCACUUUGUGAGAAGGACUCUGCGUUGCUGCAUGACUGCAUCUGCAUGGCUGGCUGGCUGCAGUCGGUACAUGACCAUCUAUCUGCAGACAGUUCUUCAGUUAUUGGUGGCCUCGCGCCGGCAGUCGGCAAGUCCGUCCCAGCCUACCUGUUCAUGGCUUCAAUUUGGCUACUCUGUUAGUCCAUUCUAUCUAGCUACUACUUCCAAACGCUUUGCCUGUUCAUCCAAAUUAAGUUUGAUCGGCUCCCAGCAAACCAGCGUCAGAGCUUCAAUUUUCUGAAUAUAUCAAUAGAAUCUCAGAAACUCGAUGUCUCUGAUCCACAAGCCUUCGUACGUUUCAGCAAAAUAGACCAUUGCAGAAAAGACACCACCAUGCAUCCUCGCAUCAGAUGAUCACUGAAUCUCAAGCACCAUUUACCUCGUAGCCUUUUUGUCUGGAUAAAACAUCCUCGUGUACCGAUCGAUCUUUAUUUAAUAACACAUGCAUUGCACGUUCUCACUCUGCCGGUUGCCCCUCGGAAGUUUGAAUCUUCUCUUGAUAGAUGCAUGUGUUCUUUUGAGAAAGACCACCGUUGUCACUGAUCACAAUGACAAAAACGUCGCGUACCUACAUGUGCAAACAAACCACUCGCUUCAAUUCCUUUCUUUCAGCUCCUUUGGGCAUGCAUCAUGGGCAUGUGAACAAGCGAGACGGAAGCCUGGAAGAUGGUCGUCAUCCAGUGCCAAGAUGCCAUAUAUCCGUCAAAGCACUUCCCUAUCGGCAGAAUAAGAACCACACACCUCACGACACGAGAGAGCACCAUUUUUGGGAUACGCACGGGCAUGGAAUCCCUGUGCCUCUCGUGGCUCUUGCAUGCAUGGCUGGACUAGUGCCGUAGACCCACGAGUCAGCGCAGACAUAUGCAUGAAGCACAUGUAAAACAUAUUCUAAUUUCUAUUAGAUUUGCACUAGGUUUAAUUUUUUUCAUGUGUAGCCCUAUCUCUACCACAUAAAAGUUUUGCACCGUAUGUUUCAAUCCUAUAAACUACACACGGUAAUUAUAGAAAAAAAAGGUAAAAGUGAAAUGUAAAGUGCAAUAAGUAAUGUGGAAGGUAAAUGAGCUAGGUAAUGCAAAUUCUCGGCACAAUGCACGAUUACUUUUUAUCGAGGUAUCGCAAAGCUCUCGCUGUCCCCUGUUAGGGUCGUGCCUAGGAUCUCUAGAUGCACAUCUAGUCGGGAUCAUAGAUAACAUGAGGGUCAUGGUGUUCCUGGUGUGUGUGCCGAGAGUGAGAGAGAGAUAGGGGUACCUUUACCCCUAGAGGUGGGAGCAGCAGAGCUGCUGGCCAUCACCGGUUCGCUUGGUGGAGUCUGCGCAAGGCAGCGACGCGCAGUGCCGAGUCCGGUCGCCAGUGAGGUGGCGGUGGUGCUUCCCGCCGCUACUGCGCAAACCUAGAUCGGUAGGUGUGUCGGUGGGGCGGCUGGCUGUGGCGAACCUCGUGAGCCGAGCCGGGUCCCCCACCCUGUUUAUAUAGCGCAGCGCGACAGGGGCCUACCACCCAUUGCUAGGGUGAGCGCCCCCGAUCAGGGCGCGGAUCAGGGUCCCGAUGGGCCUUUGGGCCCAUUGGGAAAGAGAUCAAUCUAACAUUCUCCCCCUUGAUCUCAUCAUUUACUUUUAACUUUACACUUUUCACUUUUAUUCGUUUCAUCGUAGAUUAAUGUGUAGAGCAUGCCUCAUCGUCACAGCUUAAUCGCCGAUAGAAUCAACAGCUACAACACACCUCUCUAUUUUGAAACAAUUAUGUUUCUUUUGGGCCUUUUCCAAUCCAGGAAUCAUAGGCUUUCCCUUAAACCCAUGCCGGCUAAGUGUUCUCUGAACACAUUGGGUGGUAAGCCUUUCGUGAGCGGAUCCGCAAGCAUAUCUUUUGUUCUUAUAUGCUCGAGACUUAUAGUGUGAUCCUGGAUUCUGUCUUUCACAACAUAAAACUUUAUCUCAAUGGCUUUGGAAGCAUUGCUUGAUUUGUUGUUGUGAGCAUAGAAUACUGCUGGCUCAUUGUCGCAGUACAUCUUUAGCGGUCUGUGAAUACAGUCAACCACUCUCAAUCCGGGUAUAAAUUUCUUUAGCCACAUUGCCUGCCCCGUGGCCUCAUGACAUGCUAUGAAUUCUGCAUGCAUCGUUGAUGACGCAGUUACUUUCUGUUUUGAGCUUCUCCAUGAGAUAGCUCCUCCUGCGAGAGUGAAUACGUAUCCAGACGUGGAUUUUCUAUCAUCUUUGUCUCCCGCAAAGUCUGCAUCUGAAUACCCUUUUAUCUCUAGGGAAUCGGAUCUCUUAUAUGUAAGCAUGAGUUCUUUUGUGCCUUGCGCGUAGCGGAAUGCUUUCUUUACCAUCUUCCAGUGUUCUAUACCUGGAUUACUUUGAUAUCUACCAAGAACCCUGGUGACAAAAGCUAAGUCAGGGCGAGUGCACACUUGAGCAUACUGUAAGCUUCUGACAGCUGAAGCAUAUGGAACCGCUUUCAUUUGAUCGAUCUCGUACUGGUUCCUGGGACAUUGAAAAUUCCCAAAACUGUCGCCCUUGACUAUGGGAGCAGGUGUGGCCUUCCUCGCAUGCAUAUUAUACUUCUUUAGAACCUUUUCUAAAUAUGCCCUUUGCGAUAAUCCAAGGACCCCAUUCAAUCUAUCUCGGUGAAUUUCUAUGCCCAAAACAUAUGAUGCUUCACCAAGAUCCUUCAUAUCGAAGUUUGAGGACAAGAACUUCUUUGUCUCUUGCAGUAGAUUGAUAUCACUGCUUGCAAGUAAGAUAUCAUCCACAUACAGAAUUAGGAAAAUGUAUUUCCCAUUUUUGAACUUUGCAUAGACACAAUUGUCCUCUAUAUUCUCUUGAAACCCAAAUUUCUUUAUUAUAUCAUUAAACUUUAGAUACCACCGUCUAGAGGCUUGCUUUAAUCCGUAAAUGGAUUUCUUUAGACGACAUCCCAUAUUCUCUUUGUCUUCCAUGAUAAAACCCUUUGGUUAUUUCAUGUAGACAUUUUCUUCUAAAUCCCCAUUUAGAAAUGCCGUCUUUACAUCCAUCUGAUGUAACUCUAAGUCAAAAUGUGCAACCAGUGCCAUUAUGAUUCUGAAGGAGUCUUUACAUGAGACAGGAGAAAAAGUCUCAUUGUAAUCUAUUCCUUCUUUUUGUGUAAAGCCUUUUGCCACAAGUCUCGCCUUAUAUCUUUCUAUAUUCCCUUUGGAGUCACGUUUAGUCUUGUAGACCCAUUUACAGCCUACUGUUUUGGCUCCUUUAGGAAUCUCCUCAAGUUCCCAAACAUUGUUGGAACUCAUCGAUUUCAUCUCAUCUUCCAUGGCCUCUAGCCACUUCGAUGAGUGAACACUUUUCAUGGCUUCCUCAUAUGAAGUGGGAUCACCUUCUAUAUGAACUUCUUCUGUAUUAUAAACUUUAUAACAAUCAGGGAUAGCUGAUUUUCUGACCCUUUGAGACCUUCUAGGCCCCUCACUUUCGGGCACAUUCUGUGCCUCUGCUUGUGGCACAUUAUUAAGAGGUGGCUGCUGCAACUCUUCCUCGUGUGUAAUGAUGGGUUCAGUUGGCUCCUGAAGGGCAGGUUCCAAAACUUCACUCAUCGUUUCCACAGGUGGAAUCACAGCAGGUGCCUGCACCACAAUAUCAGGGACUGUAGCGGGUGCUUGCACCACGACCUCAGGAACUAUUGGUGCGGGAAUAAUAGGUAGUGAGAAGAAUGGUUCCUGAAUCAUCGGAUUAGGUGCACACACCCGCUUCUCCUCAAGAUCAAUCUCUCGAGCUACCAUGCUCCCCCUCACCAUCUCAUCCUCUAAGAAAAUCGCUUGUCUCGUUUCUACAAACUUUGUAUAUAUGUCUGGACAGUAGAAACGAAAACCUUUUGAUUUUUCCGGAUAGCCAAUGAAGUGGCAACUUACUGUUUUGGGAUCUAGCUUCCCGAUGUUUGGGUUAAAUACUUUGGCCUCAGCUGGGCUCCCCCACACACGCAGGUGGUUUAGUGAGGGUACUCUUCCUGUCCAUAGUUCAUACGGUGUUUUGGGCACCGACUUACUUGGCACUCUAUUUAGAAUGUGAAUGGCGGUCUUCAACGCCUCCAUCCACAGUCCCAAUGGUAAGGUGGAAUAACUCAUCAUGCUUCGCACCAUAUCCAUCAGUGUACGGUUACGCCUUUCAGCUACUCCAUUUUGCUUAGGCUCGCCCGGCAUCGAAUACUGGGCUACUAUGCCAUUUUCCUGCAAAAACCUUGCAAAAGGUCCAGGAACAUGGCCAAAUGGGGUAUGUCGACCAUAGUACUCCCCCCCACGGUCGGAUCUUACUAUUUUGAUUCUUUUGUUAUGCUGAUUUUCAACUUCAGCUUUAAAUAUCUUAAAUUUAUCCAGCGCUUCUGAUCUUUCUUUAAUUGGAUAAAUGUAACCAUAACGGGAGUAAUCAUCUGUGAAUGUUAUGAACAAGUCAUAGCCAUCCACGCUUUUCACAGGAAAUGGUCCACAAAUAUCAGUGUGGAUUAUCUCUAAAACUCCUGUGCUACGUUUAGCGCCUUUUUUAAUUUGCAUUACAAAUUUUCCUUUAAUGCAAUCAACGCAUUGUUCUAAGUCUGAGAACUCUAAUUGAGGAAGAAUUUCAUUCUUAACUAGUCUUUCUAUUCUCCCCCUCGAAAUAUGGCCUAAACGACAGUGCCAUAAUUUCGACGAUAUUUCAUGAGUUCUCUUUCUUUUCUUCAUUUCUUUCUCUGACGAGGAUACAUUCAUGUUCACAUCACACACAGAAUUUACUUUUUCAUGCAGUGAUAAUAAAUACAACUCAUUGUGAAGGAUGGCAACACCAACACAUGCAUUAUCGAACCAAAUGGCACACUUUCCAUUUCCAAAAUGACAUUCAUAUCCAUCAUGGUCCAUACGUGAAGUGCUAAUCAAGUUUCUGUGUAACGAAGGAACAUAAAGCACAUCUCUAAGUACAAGCAUGAAACCAUCAACUAGCUCUAGAGAGACAUCGCCAACAGCUUCAACUUCUGCUUGGACUCCAUUUGCGACUUCAACGCAUCUUUCGCUUCUUUGCGUAGUCCUCGUCGAACGGAAUCCCUGUAAAGAAUUUGCAACAUGAACAGUUGCACCUGAGUCAAUCCACCAAGUAAAUUUCGAAUACUGUUGUCGUUGUCAAGAUCAGCGGAUCAGGACUUAGACUAGUAAAUUUCUUUUAUGCGCGUGAGCCUCAGAUGGUUGCACGGGAGACACGGAUUAGACUGGUUCGGGCAAAGGGAGCCCUACGUCCAGUAUGGGGGAUGUUCGUGUUACCCGCGCGGGGAUUCUGUAGUAGGGAGUUACAGACAGGCGAGAGAGGGACUGGUCCCAGGUCUCUUUUUCGUGUUCUUAGGAGAAGUGUUGACCUCUUGGUCUGCCGAUCGAUCCCCCCCACCCUCUGGCUCUAAGUUUCCCCUUUUAUAUCGCAAGGGGCCGGCCGGAGUUACAAUUGAGACCGGGUAAAAGGCAGAGAGUGAGAUGGUAAAAAGGCCUGGCGGGAAGGGGGGCAGAGGCCCCUGGCGCCCGACGUCCUGCCGACCCUGAACGCGUGCCGUCGUGCAUGUCCGAAGGGGUGGCCGCCGGAUGCCAAGUGUUGUAGCUCUUCGCAGGUAGCUGUUUCGACGUUCGUAGGUAUCAGGAUAGAUCAUGAUGAGGGGGUUUCGUCGUCACCCUGCCGUCCGUUAUGGAGGACGGUGGAUACCGCCGCUCUGGCGAUAGCUUGCAGAGAGGGGGAGCUUCACGCCUGUACUGCCAUUCGCGCGGGGCCCGAGGACGUGCGGGACCCGAGGAUGGGGCUGCUCCUAGCUGACCUCCGGUCGCCGCAGGUCAUGAGUGCUUUGUGACGAAUAGGAGCUGGCCGCCAGUACUGUAGCUCGUACAGGAGGGUCGUGCGCGGGUACUUGCGCCGGGUUGCGUGGGGGGCACGGUCGCCCUGCGCUCUGCCUUCUCUACGGCGCAUUUAUGGUGAGGCCGACGGGGGCCCCACAGGAUUUGUCUGUCUAUGCGGAACGUAUCCGAGAAGGAUUCUGACCCGUGGGCCCCAACGUGCCCGAUUCCUUCGCUCGAGGUCGGGCGAGGCGGAACUUUCGUGGUACAGGGUCGGGGGCUCCCGACCCUGGGGGCGCGGUCAGUCGAGGCGGAGACCUUGCGGAGGGAGGUCGGGCGCUCCCGAUCCUGACGCUGGGGUCGGGCGAGGCGGAGACCUGACCACACUUCUGUGGGCCUGGGCCUUCAUGUUUAUUUUCUUUAAGCUGCGUGUUAGGGGGUCGUUAAUAUUUCCCCCCAACAACUGUGUAUACAAGGAUUCAUUUACAAAAGAAAUAGUAUUCUCACCUCUUUUUGCCAUUAUUGACUUUAACCAGUCGGGACAGUCUUUCUUGAAGUGCCCCUUUUUCUUGCAGUGUAGACAUUGAUCUUUGUCUACUGUGAGAGGCUUUUGGUGAUUCUGCUGCAUAGGAGCCUUUCCUCGUGCCUUGAAAGAGGAGUUAGCAAUCUUUUUUCUGUUGUCCUUCACAUAGUGCAAUGAACCACCAUAUGAGGAUCUAAGUCUGUCCUCUUCCUGCACGCACAUGGCUAUCAUUUUUUCCAUGUCCCACUGUUCUGGCUGCAUGUUAUAAUUGACAACAAAAGUGUCAAACUCUUUUGGCAGAGAAGCGAAAACCAAAUGAAUAAUGUGCCCAGGCUUGAGCUCAAGAUCCAUUGGCUUCAACUGUGCUGCCAAGUUAUACAUCCUCAUGAUGUGAUCUCUUAUGCCAGUCCCUCCUCCAUUGUACCUCUCUGUGGCCAGCUGCUUGAACAGCUGGGUAGCGUAUAUCUUUGAGGAACCAGUGAACUGAUUCCUUAUCUUCUCGAGGUACUCUGAGACGGAGUCACACUCUGUGAUCGAGCCCAAAAUAGCAGGCUCAAUCGUAUUCUUUACCAAAGCCAUACAUUUCUUGUUGGCAGUGGUCCACUGUUUGUUUUCAAGGGUGUAUGCCAACUCCAGUGGAGCAUAGUCCCUUUCCUUUUGCUACCAUGCAGCAUCAUCAUCACCUUCAGCCCUCACUGGCUUCUGUGGAGCUUGUGGCCGCGGUGUAGUCAGCACCCAGUCAACUUCUCCACAAACGAAGGAGAACUCAAUCUUCUUCCUCCAUUCUGUAUAGUUGUUGCCUUUCAGAAUGGGUAUCUCUUUGAGACAAGCCAUUAAGUUGAAUGAUCCUGAAAUUUACAAUCCAAAGUGAGAUCAUAACAACAAUUGCAUGAUUUAUUUCCAACGUUGGUCAAAAAAUAAAACAUACAACUGUUGAUGCAAUUUAAAACUAUAUCACCGUUGGGCAGAAAUAGAAAUAAAAGCAUCAAAAGAACUUUUUAAACCAUGAUACAGUUAUUAAUAACGUUGGUCAGAAAAUAACAGCACCAUAAUCUAAUUAACUUUAUCAUGCUCUCACAAAUUUAAUUAUCUCGUUGGUUCAAAUUAAAUUUAAAUGGAGCAAUAAAUAUGACUUUUGCAGCGGAAACUGUGAGAUAAAUCUAUUUUCAAAAGCAAAACCACUGUACAAACUUUAUUAAUCUCUAAUACAAAUUAUCCCAUUGGUUCAAAUUAGAUUAGAGACUAAAACUAUGCAAAAAACAUCAAGUAAAUGCUUCUGGAAAUAGAAAAAACUAAUUAUCAGGUGUUACUGUGCAAAAUUCGUAUUUCGACCCAGCCGCGAAAAACGGCCCACAGCCCGUUCCCGCAUUCGGCCCGCUCGCGCGAUGCAGCCGGCCCGCCAAAAAGGCCCACGAAACGGCCGGCCCAAAACUUGGCCUGCUCGCUCGGCGCGCCUGGUUGGUUAGGGUUAGGGUUUUAUUUUUCUGUUUCUUUUGAAUCUAUUUCUUUUUCCCGAUCUAGAAGAUCUUCUAGUGAGGUGUCUGAUACCAUUGUUAGGGUCGUGCCUAGGAUCUCUAGAUGCACAUCUAGUUGGGAUCAUAGAUAACAUGAGGGUCAUGGUGUUCCUGGUGUGUGUGCCGAGAGUGAGAGAGAGAGAUAGGGGUACCUUCACCCCUAGAGGUGGGAGCAGCAGAGCUGCUGGCCAUCGCUGGUUCGCUUGGUGGAGUCUGCGCAAGGCAGCGACGCGCAGUGCCGAGUCCGGUCGCCGGUGAGGAGGCGGUGGUGCUUCCCGCCGCUACUGCGCAAACCUAGAUCGGUAGGUGUGUCGGUGGGGCGGCUGGCUGCGGCAAACCUCGUGAGCCGAGCCGGGUCCCCCACCCUGUUUAUAUAGUGCAGCGCGACAGGGGCCCACCACCCAUUGCUAGGGUGAGUGCCCCCGAUCAGGGCGCGGAUCAGGGUCCCGAUGGGCCUUUGGGCCCAUUGGGAAAGAGAUCAAUCUAACAUCCCCUAGUCCUUGUUGGAGCCCUAUGCAAGGGCCAAGCUCCUCGUUGGCUAACUCUAUGGAUAGGCAAUGGAUCUUCGGCAUGUGCAAGUGGGUCUUCCUCUUACUUGGAUGUUCUCUGCCAUCUUCAUUAGCUAGAGCUUCGCCAAUCACCAAAGGGUUUCUCCUCCCUACAAGCACCAACAGCCACUCCGCAAACAUAGUUGGAGGAUCUUGUUUACAAGCUCUGGAUUUACAACAAUUGUUGUGCGUAGGCACAUAUAGAAAAAUGGUGUUCAAACCUCACCUAACUCUUAGCUAAUCUCAAUACCGCCCACCUCCCGCUCCUUCUCCACCGCAAUGUGCUGCCUCCCUCCUCCUCCUCAAUUGUGGGACAGGCCAAAGAAGCGGCCACUAACGCCAUGGCGGUGAGGGAGGUUAUCCUCCGCUUCUUGGUGGGGGCUGCUUCACGCGCCACCACCACAUCGACCAGGCUAGUAGCACAGAGUCGUGGACGAGAUCCGCCACCAUGGUGGUGUCGAUGGCUGUGGUGAAGAGCCAUGCUCACGCGGACUUCGAGUGAGAGCUCACAAGUAGCCGAUGUUGCCUCCCCUUCAACUAUUACCUUCGCCAUCAUGGUGGCAAGGCUGCGUUGGCGUUCCAACGAUGUAAUUAGGUGACGUAAGUGCUAGGAUUUUUAAUGAAUAAUGAAUUUCCCUUUUGCAUGGUCUGGGCUUUGUCAUGGAUAAUUGCAAUGUGGUACUCAGGUACACUGAUAGUAUGAUAGUAUUCAAACCGGUGUUAAAUUACAUUAGUAGUUAAAGGUUAAACAAAUGUGGUGGCCUAAGUAAGUACCAGCUCUUAACAAACACGGUAGUUUUAGUUAGUUAUUGUUGCCUGUUCUAACAAAAGUCGUAUUCUAACCGGUGCUCCAUGUGCACCGGCAUGUUUAGUUAGAUAGCAUUUGGUUCACUGAAAUCUAAUGCAAUCGCUUUACAGACGGUAACAAAUCACGAUACCGCUGUUUGUUUCAAGUCAUCCGUAAUCAAUUAGCCUCAGAUCACAGGCUUAUACAAAUCCAUUACUCCUCCUUUCCCACUGUAAUCAGAAUACCACCCCCGAUGCAAACAACGCUGCCCAAGGUCCAGCUCUGUGCCCAUGCCUCCGUCACCGCCAUCGCCUCCCGUGGCUGCACCGCUGCCGCUGCCGUCGCCGUUGACUCCCGUGGCUGUGCCGCUGCCAUUGCCGUGGUCGGCUCCUUUGGCUCCACUGCUGACGCUGCUGCCGUGUAAUCAAACAGUCACUCCUAAACCCUGUACUCGCUGCUCUUUGCUCCUGUCGCCAUGGAGGUCGGAGCAGCGGAGUUCAUAGAGGAUUUCGGAUUCAGAUUCUUGGCAACGAUACUUCAACUUUUUGUGCAAGAUUCAGGCAAUCGCUCGAAUCUCAAUUGUGGUUAGAGUUUAUGGCCGAUCGUUCGAUUUGAGGGAAACUGAACUCCAUUAGCUGACAGGGAGCUUGAUUUGGAAACAAAGUUCAAACCGAGCUCGAUUUAAUGGCGACCGGAGGAGGGAGAGAUUACCUCAUCGUCGCUGUCAGGGGCUUGAGUGGAUUGACGCUUGAACGAGCCAACCUUGCCCCGUUGCUGAUGCAGGCCUUCGAUGCUUCCAGUUUGUCUGUCAGUUCCUUCUCAUAAGUGUGUAACCAAACAAAGGACGCAAUCGUUCAUUCCGGAAUGGAAACCGCUGCGAUCUGAUUAUGUUUACAUUUACAUUACCAUUUCUCCAACUAAACAUCAUUUUAGUUAUUGUCGACGGUUCCAACACCAACAUGAAUAACAUAUCUGAAAGAAUCGAGAUGUCACCUAGAGGGGGUGAUUAAGCGAGAUGAUCAAUUUAUAAAAUUUCAACCCUCUCAGUUGCACUGUACAGGCUAAACCGGUUAGUUAGACCGGUCCAGGCAGGGUGACACAUAAGUAGUGCUUGAGUCUCUCUUUCACUUUUAGUACCAACCAAACUUGGAGAGUGGCUUCUGUAGAUGAUUUUCAAUAGGGAAAAAUAGUCCCUGCACACAAGACAAGCACACCCAAGUAGAUUGAAGCGGAAGCACAAGCAAAUUGCUAGAAAUCAACAAGUGAAGCAAAUCGAAAUGAAGACACGACGAUUUUUUUAUCUGAAGUUCAGAUUCACCAUAAUGAAUCCUACGUCUCUGUUGAGGAGCCUAUUGGAAUACGAGUCUAUUUCAACUCCCUUCCAACAAGCUGGAUCUCUUUCAACCAUUUUCCUCAUCUCCACUAGUUGAUCUUUUUCCCUGCGGAGGGAAGAUCACAGCCCUAACAAACUUGCUGCUGCUCACCACACCUUGGGAGCUAGCCGGCGACACCUAGCCAUCUAGGAGGUACACCUCCAAGAGUAACAAAUGCUUCAAAAGCUUUCUCAACGCGAACCACAAGUGCUCAAACUAUGGAUUGCUCUCUUCAACUCACUAAUAUUCACACAAGAUCACUCUCUCAACCCAACUCAAAAAUUUCUCAAGAAUCACUCAAGUCUCACAAAGAGAGGUUGGGAAGAGUUUUUCUGAUCACUAGACGAUGUUCAAGUCGUGUAGAACGAGCAGCCCAUAAAGGAGGGGGCCAAGGAGUAUAUAUAACCCCACAAACCAGAAACUAGCUGUUGGGGUUGAUCAAACCGGUCUACUUUGAAAAACUAGCCGUUGCCCUCAGACCGGUCUGCCAAACCGAUCAGGCCGAUUUGGCUGAGUUAGCUGUUUGCUCACUGAACCGCAGACCAGUCUGCCUGGCUGAGUUAGCCCCAAAACUCUCAACUCUCACUUAUGAUUCACCUACUGGUUGAAACAACCAUUGUUAGUUGAGCUGGAACAGUUAGCUCACUCCAGGGUUUUCUCAAGGUCAAUCUCACAUAGAUCAACUAAGAGCACUUUUGGUGUUGUCAAUUAACUAAUGUUGCAUCCCUCUUGAUAGUACGGCAUACCUAUACUCAAGAAUAAAUAUAAAUAAUAUAUCUUGAGAAACCGUCGUGAGGACCACCAACCCGGUGCCGACGACGAGCGGGCGGCCGCCUAGGGCUAACCAACGAGCACCGCAUCGGCCACGCCAUCGCGAUCUCGAAGCUGGCUGCGCUGCUGGCCGGCACGCGCCUCGACGGGGUCGGCGCAGUCGCGGCUGCGGCGCUGGCGGGGGCGGAGGACGCCGACGUGGUCGUGUACGGUGCCAACCUGACGUUCGUGGACGCCGAAAGCCUGGACGUGUACGGGCUGGAGCUCGGGGCAUGGCGCCCCGCGCACGUGGAGUACGCCGUGGACGGCGUCGGUUACGGCGGCGCGGCCGUCGUGCACCGCGACGCCGGCGGGCGGAGCCGCGCCAUCGCGGGCGUCGUGCGCCGAGGCGAGGCGGACCGCCUCCGCGCUGCUCUGCGUGACGCGCUGCGCGUUGCUUGAUGAUGAUCGAUCGAGCUAUGUUGCUUUUCAGGUUGAAUAAAGAAUAGUCUUGCAGGCAGUUUAUUAUCUAUUGCUAGUUCAUUGGAAUCUACCGUAACAGAACCGUACGUGUCUUCAAGGUUUUCAAGUUUGAACUUUGAACUUGUAAAUCUAAUGCGUGUUAUGAACUUUUGAUAAUAUGAAUUUGCUAUGUUUGGUAGACAGGACGGCAAGGGACUUUAAAUAAUCACCGGUGUCAAAUAAUCUACAACAUGAGAAAUAGUGCAUUACCAUGAUAGCCAUUUCAAAUGCGCCUUAAAAAAUGAGUGUGAUGGGUCAACAAUUAAUGUGGCAAAAAUAAUCGAGAAUUGACUGAUUGUUCCUCAUCUCUUGGUUAUGGUGCUUCGAUACUACUUCCUCCAAUAAUCUUUAAUCUUUGAACUAACCAAUAUUAAAAGUCCAAGAUUAGAUGAGAGGCCAGUCCCCGAGGAACAUGGGGCGAGGACUAGGGUUCGAACCUCCUCGCUGGUCCGCUCUGCACCCUACCAGGGGUACGACCAACUAGGCAGCCUAGUUCUCCGAACACUACAAUAAUUUAUAUCUUUCCCUAUAUUUUUUAGCAAGUGGUAUAGUGUUAACACCAUUAGUAUUUUUCUCUAAGUGACCGACAGUGUUUGUAGUAUAGAUUUCUAUCUUCCCCUGCUGCCUACGGUUUUACUCCCUCCGUUCCAAAUUGUAGAUCGUUUUGACAUUUCUAAAUAUAUAAUUUUUGCUAUGUAUUUAGACAUUUCUAAAUAUAUAAUUUUUGCUAUGUAUUUAGACAUAGCGUAUAUCUAGAUGAAUAGCAAAAAGCUAUGAAUCUAGAAAAACCAAAACAACUUGCAAUUUGGAACGGAGGGAGUAGCAAUUAUGAACAAAAGCAAUCCUGUACAAACUCAUUACCCACAAUUUUUGAACUAACUAUAACCGUUGGCCACUAAUUAUACGAGGAAACUGUUGGGAAAAUUGGUAAGCUUUGAGUGGAAGGUCAGAUGUAGUACCACAUAUGUAUGGCAAAUGCUCGAUGAUGCCGUUCAUCCAUAUCACAGGGAGAGUGGAGGGCACAUAGAAGAAGAUAAAAUAAAAUCCUUCUCUUUCAAGUAAAGUGGGCAGGAACCAUAUCAUUGUGGUCCUAAAAUGCGCUGGUCCGGCUAGAACCUAGAAGAUACAAGAAAAGCAUCACUUGAUAUACACCCUUGCUCUUCUUGCAAGAAACGUACAAAGGGUGUCCUCAGCUCGCACUCUUCUGCCACUACAAAAGAAAGGAACAUGGACUCAAUUCGCGGCUUUUGAGUAAUCAUAUCAUUGUUGUGCAUGCACUGGCCAAGCUCCCCAUGCCACACAGCCGGCCAGCAACAAACAUAUUCUUGGGUAUUUGGCUCCAAUAGGCCAAGCAUUCAUCCAUUCUAAAGGUAUGCACGAAUACUUAUAGGCUUAAUUAUAUAUAGCUCUUUGAUUAAUUAAUUGCACUCCUUUAUCAUUUCCCUUGAUUCCUCUGCGUGAAAUGAAACAUAUUCUUUAGAUUGAUAAUGUAACGUUUUGUACCUUCCGUGUUUUUCAUCCGUGUCAAACUUUUGGGACAAAAAAUAUAGAUACGUUGGGUUAAUCCUUAGCUUUUACAUGAAGUGAGGACGAAAGUAUAAAAGAGAUGGUAUGCGUAUGUGAAUCUCUUCCACUUGGGAGCUAGACCAUAAGCAGAUUUGUUACCUAAACCUAGGUAUGGAUUCGGAUAAGAUACGUAUGGAAUCAAAUUCGGAUAGCACUUUUUUACCACAUUUUAAUUCGAAUUCGAAUACGGAUAAUGUUGGAUACGGAUAAGUUUUAGAUGGCUUCGUUGGGUACUUUAUUCUUUGCGGAUACGGAUAAUGUCAUAUAUUUCACAUUUUUUUUUGUUGAAUACGAAUUUGGAACCGGAUAGAGAAAAACACUAAAAAUCGAAUCCGGAUACAUCCAUUUGACAUCCACAUUAAAAACGAAUACGGAUACGGAUAUCCAUAUUGAUAUUUUUAGCGGAUACAAAUUCGGAUAAUUCGGAUUUCCAGACAUUUAUAUCUAUCCCUACCUAAACCUCUUCCCCUAGGUGAAGAACCAUGAGGGAACGUUCAAUAGUUUAGACGGCUGCUGUCUGCGAGUAUACGCCAUAUCACAUAUAGACGAUAAAAUCGACACUCUGUCUGCAAGCUAUUAAUUCAUUUAUGAAUCCAUAUAACCAUGACGAUCAAGUAUUAAUUGAUCUUUGUAUGUUAUUUUGUUGCUUCUUUGAGAGGAUGUAUGUCAAAUACAAUUUGAAUAAAAUGUAUGACAUGUAUUUGCUAGUUUCACUCAUCAUUUAUAUAUAAAAUAGCUUAUUGUGUUUGUGUCUCUUACGUGUGGGACUCGUGGUCUACGUGGUCAAUGUAUUUUUUCACAUGAAAAUUGAGAAACCAAAGCACUGCCCAUAUCCCGUGAGUUCCUGCACCCAUCGUUCUCAUCCGGUCCUUUCCAUCCUCCUCUCUCUCUAGCUUUCUUCCCCUCUCCAAUCACCAAAAAAAAUUAAGGUGGAGUAGAAGGGCGAGUAGAAAAUCAAGUCACAGCUUCUUGCCGAGCUUGCAAGGCGUCAGGUCCAGACCUGCACGCAGCAGCGCGGGGGCAGCCUGGCCUUGCCAGAGCGACGGAAGAGGUGCCGGGCAGCCCGGGGCAACGCCGCAGCAGCCCGGUGCCGGCGCGGGGGCAGCCUGAUGGCAUUGGUGCAGGCCAGCCCGCGCAAGGCCGCACCAACCCGGCACAAACGCGGGGGCAGCCUGACGGCAGCGCCGCAGCAGCCCGACGAAGCACUAGCAGGGGUGCAGGGGAAAGCCCGACGGCGGCGGCGCGGGAGCAUCCCGACGGUGUCACCGGAGCAGCGCGGCUGCCAAAUCCCGACGACCUGGGCAUUCGAUUUCAGCAUGAAAUUGCAUGGAGGGUCGGAGAGAUUUUGCUAUGCGGCGUGCAGUGGUUGCGAGGCCGUCGUUUUGCUCUGGGAGCACGAGCCAACACUGUCGUUUCGUGAAGCGACGAUGCAGUUCUCUCACCUCAUUAACUAUCUGCCAGGUAGGAAAAGGAUGCUGAUGUGGCAACUCGCAGAUGGCAUAAUAAUUGCCGUUGUACACGUGCUAGCUUACUCAUCUACAUGAGGAAUAAAAAAUUAAAUACUGAGACCCUUGGACCCUUGCUUGUUGGAUGGGAGCUCAGCUUUUGUGCGGGAAUGUGUGGCUCAUUAUUCCAAUGACAAGCAAUGGUCUCUGCUAAGUUUAUCCUUGUCAUUUCUAUCAAUUUUUUAGAUUUCCAAAAACUUCCUAACAAAAGUGUCAUGUUAAAUGAGAUUACUUUUCGUUGUGAUAUGAUAUAGCAACAAAAAUAAACCCAUACCAAUGCAGAGUAAAUUUCUUGUUUGGCGUGGAUGCCGAUGGUGGUAGAUUGAUAUAUUUCAUUUAUACUACUUACAUGUUUUAGUUAUGCUUGUCAAAAUUUUUGGGACAAAAAAUGCUUCAUGUAGUUUCUCAUAAAAAGUACAUGUUUGCACCCUAAUGAAUAUCAAUAAGACAACUUUUAUCAUAAGCAACGCACUUAAAGUUGUGAAAGAAAUGAAUUAAUAUACAAUGAAUGUUGGGUAGAUGUCCUAUACUUCCUUUUCUCCUUUGCAUAUCUGUUGGUUUUUAAUUUAGUUCCCCUCGCCCACUUCAUGUCUUGAGUAAGCGAUAACAUCCCUCCACUUUUCUUCCAAUUACUUUCAGGGGAAAACAGUCAAUUUUUGCCCAAUUUUCUUUAUUUUUGGUUGACCUGAAACCAUUACAUUAUUGUUCCCAAUAAACAAUAUACACUAUAAAAGUUCUAUAUUGGACACCUUGUCUCUAACGGAUUGUUUGGAACCAUAGUGUGAGGUUGGCUCUAACUUAUGAACCAUCUAACGAGGUGAAUCUCAAGGUUCGAAACCGUAAGAGAUAUAUAAGGCUUAUUCUCUCUUCGGUAUAAGGUUUAUUCUCUUCAGUUCUAAAUAAAAUUUGUAAGAGAUACUAUCUCCCACGGUUACCUUUAUUUGUAGUUCAUAAACUUUUAUUUUAAGUGAUCCUAAGUUUCAGCCAAUAAAUGUCAAAAUGAAUAAAAUUAUCUUUACUAUUAAUAACAAGAUAUGUGUGGGAUGCUAAGAUGGGAUGGCGUGAGGGGAGUAAGUGGUAAUUAUGUAUCCGUGGCAGAAAAGUAUGCUCACCUUUGACGGAAAAUCUAUCAUGUCUGUGAUCGGGGGUAACCUCAUUUUUUCAACGUCCAUAUACUACAUUAGUUGAAUCGUUAUUAUCACAUCAAAUUAUCUAUGGGCUAAAGGUAAGAUCAUCUUUGAUGGAAAAUCUCUCCAAGCCUGGGGUGGCCUCAUGUUUUAGGUGGAAAAUGAUGAUUCGACGAAAGGGCCUAGAAUUUUAGCAUGGUAGUAGGGUUCACGAUGAUCGGAUCAAGAAAAUGUGUGAAAUGGAACUUGGGUGCAUGCAACGUGAAAGAAAUAAAGGUACUAAAAUGGACCUAGGGUUUUAGAAACUUUGUGGUAAUUUUGGGAAUUAAAAAGGAUGAAAAAGGAGUUUCAUAAGUUCGUGCAUGUAAGAUUGUAGGAAACUUGUUGUGCUGUUAUAGCCACACACUAACAUGUAUACGUUAUCGUAUAAGCAACAGGUGGUCCCAGGCAUAACAGAUGAGCCCUUUUAUGGUACACAAUACUAAGCUAGUUUGAAAAGAAUUAGUAUAAAUACAUCUAAUGGUCAAGAUUAAUUGUAUACUACUGAAAAAUUCACCUGUGGUAUAGGUAUGUAGUACACAUGAGUAGUAUAGGUAGUAUAUGAGUAUCAUGCUAAACGAACACAAAUAGUAUCACUAUAAUAUUUUUUUGACACCAUCAUAAAGUCUACAAAUCAUUCCAUUUGGAAUUUUACUUUUUACAAUGUAAUAAUUACUAAAUUACCCAUAAUGAUGGACGGUUAGAUCUUCCAAUACUAUAUACCACUAAGUGGUAGUAUUGUGUACUGUAAAAGAGCUCUAACAGAUCUGGUGCGGAAUGAAGAGCUUGAUCAACUAUUUAAUGACUGGGAAAUUAAACUGCUUUUGCUUCCCAGUUUCACACUGCAGUUAUUCCUCUUCUUUGUUGGUAGCCUUUAGCGACGUUGCAGUUAUUCCUCUUCUUUGUUGGUAGCCUUUGGCGACGUUGGACCAAUAUGUUCCUUAGAAAUUAUUUUAUGGAAUCUCCAACAAAUAUCGCGAUUAUACUCCUAGAAGUAUCUGAUUUCGAUGAUAAAGACCACAUCUGCGGCUCGCUAAAUUUUGAAACAUGUUGCAUCGGGUGGGUGGGUAUCUGCAACAUCAGUGAGUGGAUAUUUGUAACAAAAUGACUUGCGGGUAGAAGUGGUUUAUAGGGGUGUUUAUGCAAUUUUACCUUGUAGAGCCUUCAUUUAUUCAGGAAUAUCAUAUGGCGAUAAAGAUAAACCCAUAUGUAUGCAUGAUCACUAGGGUCAAAGAAUUUGAAAUCGGAUAGAGAAAAACACUGAAAAUCGAAUUCGAAUACAUCCAUUUGACAUCCACAUUAAAAACGAAUACGGAUAUGGAUAUCCAUAUUGACGUUUUUAGCGCAUAUGAAUUCGGAUUUACAGACAUUCAUAUCCAUCCCUACCUAAACCUCUCCAACAGGUGGUCCAAGACAACUGAUCUGGUGCAGAAAUGAAGAGCUUGAUCAAACUAUUUAACGACUGGGAAAUUCAACUGCUUGUGCUUCUUAGUUUCACACUACAGUUAUUCCUCUUCUUUGCUGGUAGCCUUCGGCGGCAUUGGACCAAUAUGUUCCUUAGGUUCUCAAUAUGGAUGGCUUAUUUGGGAGCAGACAUGGUUGCAGUUUUUGCCCUAGGCUACCUAUCUCGACAUGUGGGUUCCACCACUGCUGGAAGGGACACAUUAGGGAGAGCCGAACCACUGGCCUUUUUCUGGGCACCCUUCCUCCUCGUCCAUCUUGGUGGGCAGGACACUAUCACUGCAUUUUCCAUGGAGGAUAACAAUUUAUGGUUGAGGCAUUCGUUAAAUAUGGUGGUGCAGGUUGUUCUUACUACAUAUAUUUUAUGGAUGUCUAUUGGAAGGCACAACAUGCAGCUUCUAAUUUCAGGAAUAUUCAUUUUCGCUGCGGGAGUUAUCAAGUAUGGAGAAAGGAUCUGGUCCCUCAAGUAUGGGAGUAUGGAAAGCCUCGAGAGCUCCACUGGGAAUCAAUAUAUGCGUCAGCUUGCACGAUCAGUUGAUGUGGAUGCUGGCUAUCCUAGAACUGUCUGCACUGGACUGCGUUCGAUGCCGAGAGUUCAUGAAGUCUUCACCAGUCGUUCCUCCGAUAUUGAUAUGGACCAAUCCAGUUGGGGCCACGAUGAGUUGUCCAAGUUGGUGGGCUUUGAGCUUGGCAUGUUGCACAAUGAUCUCUACACCNNNNNNNNNNNNNNNNNNNNNNNNNNNNNNNNNNNNNNNNNNNNNNNNNNNNNNNNNNNNNNNNNNNNNNNNNNNNNNNNNNNNNNNNNNNNNNNNNNNNCGUUGUAUCUCUCAAAUAACUGUGAUUGUUGCCUUCGUGACGUUCCUUGUUUCAGGCAACAAGCACAGUUACCAUAGAGCUGAUAUUGCAGUCACAUAUUCACUGUUUAUUGGUGGUUUUUUCCUGGAUUUCUGUGCCAUUUUUAUAUCCUUGAGGUCCCCGUGGACUUGGUUGUGGUUGAAGGCUCGAGGGUGUAACAUGCUUGCCAGGUUCUCUUGGUUUCUUUUUUCCAACGACGCCAUUGGAUGGUCGGAGAAAAGGACAUUGCGGUCAAUUGUAGCUGGGCAGUACAACUUGAGGGGUUGGUUAGUGCAUACUGAACAGCCAAGGUCGUUCUUUAGUCCACUAAUGAUGACGGUGAGAAAGUCGCUGACACUAUGUGGUGCCCAGGAGGAUAAAAUAUUUUGGUUGAGCAAAAUAUUAGGCUGGGAGUACGCCAAAGGGGACAAAAUAAUGGAAUGUCUCCAAAGCAAGAUGUAUGGUAGGUGGUAUUCUACAGGUGCGAUUCGCAGUGUAUGGGAUGAGCAUGACAACAUAAUGGAAUGUAUCCAGGGUUUUGUGGGCCAACGAAAGAAAUCUGAACCCAAUGAUUUUGGCUAUAUGCUUGUCUACAUGCAUAUACAAACAGAGGCACACCUGAGGGAAGACCUGUUAUCGCACGUGGAAAGCACUGUCUGCCGGCAACUGUCCCGCUACAUGAUGUACCUCCUGGUUACCCACCCUUCCUUGCUGCCUCUCGAUACAAGUGCAGUAGCUACACUGGAUUGGUGGCGAGCAGCUGCUGCUUCAGAGGGUAUGAGUAGACUGGAACGGAUGAAUCCUUGGUUAUCCAGCACGGAAGCAUUGAAGGAGCUCGUUGACUUUUGGGUGUGGGUGAUCAUGUAUGCUGCGGCCAAAUCACGGUCGGAGAUGCACGCGGCGCUGCUGGCCAGAGGUAGUGGAGAACUCCUCACCUUCGUAUGGCUGAUGAUGGCCCAUCACCUUAAAACGGGCGAUUUUUCCGACCUGUCAAUAUUUCGCAAGAUCGAUCACAGGGAUUUUACUGCCAUCGGUGUAUUUGGUCAGGUACGCGGCCACUCACCAAUUUCUGGAUUUGAGCAUUAAUUUAUUAUGUGUCAGCAUUAGAUAUAUAGGUCAUUUUGACUUUUCCGAGUGUAUAGCACCUCAAUUAUGAAUCUAGAAAAGCCAAAACGAUCUACAAUUUUAAACGGAGGGAGUAUCUAAUAAAUUUACUAGCACGGGUGUAUUUGCUAAGCAAUUCUUUUCUGUUAGUUUACCAGCAGUUUUUUUAGUAUAUAUUGAAAGAUACAACCCACUAGCACAUGUAUCAUGGUUGUUACCUUUUCUGUUAGUUCUUUCGUUGAUCCCAAAUUAAUUAAGUUUUUUUUACCAGCGGUUUUGAGAUGCUGAACGGACACCCGACCGGCCAUUAGCCUCAAACAUUGAAUGUCUUCAAUGUUCUUGGAAAUAUAGGUGCUGCCAAUUAUUGACAUCAUAAUAUUGAUCGUUCCCCGUCGACAUUGUGUUUUACCAUCCGUUUAUACCUUAAUUACUAUUGCUUUUCGCUCUUCCCCUCUUUAGUUGUAAUUGAAACUUGUGCCUCCUGAUGUAUUGACAAUAAUGAUUGU